AGUGAACGCUGGCGGUAGGCCUAACACAUGCAAGUCGAACGGCAGCACAGUAAGAGCUUGCUCUUACGGGUGGCGAGUGGCGGACGGGUGAGGAAUACAUCGGAAUCUACUUUUUCGUGGGGGAUAACGUAGGGAAACUUACGCUAAUACCGCAUACGACCUACGGGUGAAAGCAGGGGAUCCUCGGACCUUGCGCGAUUGAAUGAGCCGAUGUCGGAUUAGCUAGUUGGCGGGGUAAAGGCCCACCAAGGCGACGAUCCGUAGCUGGUCUGAGAGGAUGAUCAGCCACACUGGAACUGAGACACGGUCCAGACUCCUACGGGAGGCAGCAGUGGGGAAUAUUGGACAAUGGGCGCAAGCCUGAUCCAGCCAUACCGCGUGGGUGAAGAAGGCCUUCGGGUUGUAAAGCCCUUUUGUUGGGAAAGAAAAGCAGCAGGUUAAUACCCCGCUGUUCUGACGGUACCCAAAGAAUAAGCACUGGCUAACUUCGUG
rnacentral:rRNA from 1 species